CAUGCAAGUCGAGGGGAAACGAUAUUGGAAGCUUGCUUCCGAUAGGCGUCGACCGGCGCACGGGUGAGUAACGCGUAUCCAACCUGCCCACCACUUGGGGAUAACCUUGCGAAAGUAAGACUAAUACCCAAUGACGUCUCUAGAAGACAUCUGAAAGAGAUUAAAGAUUUAUCGGUGAUGGAUGGGGAUGCGUCUGAUUAGCUUGUUGGCGGGGUAACGGCCCACCAAGGCUACGAUCAGUAGGGGUUCUGAGAGGAAGGUCCCCCACAUUGGAACUGAGACACGGUCCAAACUCCUACGGGAGGCAGCAGUGAGGAAUAUUGGUCAAUGGACGAGAGUCUGAACCAGCCAAGUAGCGUGCAGGAUGACGGCCCUAUGGGUUGUAAACUGCUUUUAUAAGGGAAUAAAGUGAGUCUCGUGAGACUUUUUGCAUGUACCUUAUGAAUAAGGACCGGCUAAUUCCGUGCCAGCAGCCGCGGUAAUACGGAAGGUCCGGGCGUUAUCCGGAUUUAUUGGGUUUAAAGGGAGCGUAGGCCGGAGAUUAAGCGUGUUGUGAAAUGUAGACGCUCAACGUCUGCACUGCAGCGCGAACUGGUUUCCUUGAGUACGCACAAAGUGGGCGGAAUUCGUGGUGUAGCGGUGAAAUGCUUAGAUAUCACGAAGAACUCCGAUUGCGAAGGCAGCUCACUGGAGCGCAACUGACGCUGAAGCUCGAAAGUGCGGGUAUCGAACAGGAUUAGAUACCCUGGUAGUCCGCACGGUAAACGAUGGAUGCCCGCUGUUGGUCUGAAUAGGUCAGCGGCCAAGCGAAAGCAUUAAGCAUCCCACCUGGGGAGUACGCCGGCAACGGUGAAACUCAAAGGAAUUGACGGGGGCCCGCACAAGCGGAGGAACAUGUGGUUUAAUUCGAUGAUAC
rnacentral:rRNA from 1 species